GCCACGGCUAACUACGUGCCAGCAGCCGCGGUAAUACGUAGGUGGCGAGCGUUAUCCGGAUUUACUGGGUGUAAAGGGCGUGUAGACGGAUGGGUAAGUUGGCUGUUUAACCUGGGGGCUAAACCCCCAGCCUGCAACCGAAACUGCUGAUCUUGAGUACCAGAGGGGAAAGCGGAAUUCCUAGUGGAGCGGUAAAAUGCGUAGAGAUCAGGAAGAAUACCAGUGGCGAAAGCGACGGUCUGGAUACCAACUGACGCUGAGGUACGAAAGCGUGGGGAGCAAACAGGAUCAGAUACCCUGGUAGUCCACGCUGUAAACGAUGAGUGCUAGAUGUCGGGUGUCAAAGCCCGGUAUCGCCGUUAACACAUUAAGCACUCCGCCUGGGGAGUACGUACGCA
rnacentral:rRNA from 1 species